GAUGAACGCUGGCGGCGUGCCUAAUACAUGCAAGUCGAGCGAACGGACGAGAAGCUUGCUUCUCUGAUGUUAGCGGCGGACGGGUGAGUAACACGUGGAUAACCUACCUAUAAGACUGGGAUAACUUCGGGAAACCGGAGCUAAUACCGGAUAAUAUUUUGAACCGCAUGGUUCAAAAGUGAAAGACGGUCUUGCUGUCACUUAUAGAUGGAUCCGCGCUGCAUUAGCUAGUUGGUAAGGUAACGGCUCACCAAGGCAACGAUGCAUAGCCGACCUGAGAGGGUGAUCGGCCACACUGGAACUGAGACACGGUCCAGACUCCUACGGGAGGCAGCAGUAGGGAAUCUUCCGCAAUGGGCGAAAGCCUGACGGAGCAACGCCGCGUGAGUGAUGAAGGUCUUCGGAUCGUAAAACUCUGUUAUUAGGGAAGAACAUAUGUGUAAGUAACUGUGCACAUCUUGACGGUACCUAAUCAGAAAGCCACGGCUAACUACGUG
rnacentral:rRNA from 1 species